CAAAAAACGCCUGUCAUAGAAUCUAGAAGGUCUGAUGACAAAUAGUCUUUUCCCAUGGUCUCCACUGUGUCGAACAGGAGCUGGGAAUAUUGAAUUACCCUGUUUUAUACAAGGUUCAUAUGGGUAUACUGUUAUAUUCUGAGUUAAAAUCAGAUUAUAAAAAAAUACAAGGAUCCUUUUGUAGCUCAUAAGCAGGAUGACUGGGUUUUCACACUCAGGUGUGAGAUGUGCCUCCCUCAAACCUUGUUAUGAGGUAGGCACAUUACCCAUCUGACAUGAAACAAAAAGAAAAUAUACAUUCUUAGAUGUUUAAUAUGAGUUAAGAUUUUAAAAUGUCUUAUUUGAGUAAUAAGGCCAGGUCAGAUAGGGUAUCUUUAAACAAAGAUGGAUCUACUGUUCUAAAGCAUAACUUUCCUCAUUUUAAUUCAAAGUUAAAGUAUCUAAAUAAUCAUUUUAAUUUGUUUCAAUAGCAGGCAGGGAGGUUAGGUACUUAAUGAGCUGCUCAUCUGUGUCUCCUCUGCAACAAAUAUUUGCUAAUGCUGCAAAAGAAAUACAUUUAAUUUAAAUUAUUCCAUUAUGCCAUUUCACAUGACACAUUAUCUGUAUUAUAUGUAUUAUUAUGCUGCAAAAUAGAUGGAAAGGACCAGCCGUAUUUACUCAACAAAUCACCAGCAGGAAUUAGAACUUGUUAUCAAACUACACACUCUAAAAUAUCUUGAUAAAAUCACGUGGUAAACCAUUGCUGAUUAAGAAUAUCCUCUUCAAGUCUCCCCCUGACAGAAUUUAAUCAAGCCUUGCUGGAAGUAAACUGAGGCAAAAUUUCACUUCUGGAUCCUCUUUUUAUAUUCUUCCUCUUGAAGGUCUGCAAGGAUCACUAGAGGCAUUCCAAGCCCUUUCCACUGGGAACAGGAAAGGAUCUAGCUGUUACUUAGAAACUGAAGGUUCCUAUCUUUUCACUGUGUAACUACUCUCAAGGAUAUUUUGCAUGUGAGUCACUGUAGAAUAAAAAACUUUAAUUUCCCAUUAAAGGAAUUUCAGUCAUAAUAGAUGUCAGAAAGAUCUGAAUCUUUUGUUCAUGUUUAAUGUCUGGAAUGCUGUCCCCUCUCCUGAAAUCUAUGUUAGGCCCAGAUAACAUCUUAUCUUCCAAGAUGCCAACAUUUUUCCCAACCACACGAGAUCUUUCCUACUGUUGAAUUACUGUACGUUAUUGUGACAUGUAUAUUUGUGUUUACUGCUGCCACUUUUAAGUAUAAAUAUCUUGAAAGCAGGAACUAUCUUCUUAAUUUUGGUAACAUCUGCAGCAGCUUGCAGUGAGUUUGGGAGGUUGAUUCACAAGAGAAUUAGAAACUGGCAUGAAUUUACUACAUAUAAUUCAUACUACUAAGGCUUUUUAAAUAACAAGAUUAAGAGAAUUUGACAAAGUAAGUAUGGACUUCAGCAAAUCAUCUGAAACAUACAUAAUUUUUUUUGUGGACUAGAUGAAGAAAACGGGUUGGAUGACAGUACAAAGUACUCAUUAAUUCAAUACAUAUUUAAUUGCAUACUAUGUGCAGAUCCUAUGCUAGAACUAUAUACGGUCUAAGAGGGAUAUAGAUCUUGCUGGGAGAAAUACACACUACACAAGUAAUUACAAAUCUGUAAGGGUAACAAGGGAAAGAAAUAGGAUACAGUGGCCCAGAAGAAAAGUUCCUAUUUAGACAAGAUGGGGGGGUUGGGAAGAGGGGACAUUAUAAGCUGAGAGAAAGAGGAAGUUAGAGAAAUUUGUAAUGGGUACUUGAUUGACUGUAAGCAAAAGGUACUGAUUAAUUACUGCAGUAACCUGGCAAAGAGAUCUCUCAAAAGCCCUGCAGCAUCAAGGUUUUUAUGAAUGGCUUAGAUGAGGUGGAUACAGCAUUCCUGACUUGUCGAGUCUUAGAAACACAAAGCUACUGCUACAAGAGUGGCCAUGGGGUCCCAAAAGAGUCUUUACACACAUUACAAAAGGCUAAAUCUAAAAGGAUUCAACAUAAUAAGGUAAGUGGAAGUUCCGCCUGGAACUCCCAGAAAUUUAGUUGCUCACAAAAAAGCCAAAGGCCAAUUCAGUCUUAAUCUGAUACACUAGAAGCACAGGGUCAAAACAGGAUGAUCUUCCCUGUCGCUUAUCCCCUGACUACACCUGCAGAAAUGUGUCCAUUCAAGAGCAUACUCUUUUAGAGGGACAAUCUAUUUUCAGCUUAGUAUUAGUUUGGUGCAAAAGUAACUGCAGUUUUUGCAACUGAAAGUAAUUGCGGUUUUUGGCUGAGCGCGGCGGCUCACGCCUGUAAUCCCAGCACUUUGGGAGGCCGAGGCGGGCGGCUCACGAGAUCAGGAGAUUGAGACCAACCUGGCUAACACGGUGAAACCCCGUCUCUACUAAAAAUACAAAAAAAUAGCCGGGUGUGGUGGCAGGCGCCUGUAGUCCCAGCUACUCGGGAGGCCGCAGGAGAAUGGCGUAAGUAAACCCAGGAGGCGGAGCUUGCAGUGAGCCUAGAUCGCGCCACUGCACUCCAACCUGGGCGAGAGUGAGACUCUGUCUCAAAAAAAAAAAAAAAAAAAAGGUUUAAUGCACUUAGUAAUGUGAACUGCUUGCUCUUUCUUUACACAUAUUACCCAAUUAUUAAACAAUUAGUCAUGUCAUUAAAGGUCCUAGAUAACUUAUUAAUAUUGUUUCAAAGUAUAUUUCAUAGCAUGUAACUUUUUUUUUUUUUUUCCAGAGACAAGGUUUUUUGCUAUGUUACUCAAGCUGGUCUCAAACUCCUGGGAUCGAGAGAUCCUCCCACCUUCAGCUUGCGGAGUAACUGGGAUUACAUCACGCACCACCACAACCAACUUGCCUUUAACUCUUUUUAAAUGUUUUGAGCCUUCAGGAUUGUUGAUGUAGUAGGGCCAUCUGCUUAAAUCUAAAAAUAUUAGUGUGUAACCAGGAAUGGUGGUGCAUGCUUGUACUCCCAGCUACUCGGGAGGCUGAGGCGGGAGGAUCACUUGAGCCCAGGAGUUUGAGGUCAGCCUGAGCAACAUAGCUAGACCCUUCCCCCUCAAAAAAAAAUUAAAUUAUUAGGGUGAAUAUUGCUUACAAUGAGGUGACUACCAGGAUUUCUGGAACCCUGAACCUCCUGACACCAAAAAUAAGCAUCUUUCACUGCUCUCUAAAGCCUGAAAUUUCUCCAUUAAGUAUUUAUUAAUUUCAUAGGCCCAAGGCUUCAAUGACUAAUUUUUAAAAAUGCACGUAGCCUCAGAAAAGUUAUUAAGCCUUUGAUGAUUGCGAUUUUUAUAAGAAUUGAAUAAGAUAAUGUGGGAAUGUGGGAACUUUUUGUGUGUCAAAGACAACAACUGGGCCGGGCACAGUGGCUCACACCUGUAAUCCCAGCACUUUGGGAGGCUGAGGCGGGCGGAUCACCUGAGGUCAGGAGUUCGAGACCAGCCUGGCCAACAUGGUGAAACCCUGUCUCUACUAAAAAUACAAAAAAUUAGCCAGGCCUGUGAUCCCAGCUACUCGGGAGGCUGAGGCAAGAGAAUCGCUUGAAUCCAGGAGGCGGAGACUGUGGUGAACCAAGAUCGCGCCACUACACUCCAGCCUGGGUGACAGAGCGAGACUCCGUCUCAAGAAAAAAAAAAAAAAGACAACAACUGAAAAUUGGUCAUUUUCUUUCCCUCAUUCCCAGUAAAGGGCACCACCAUCUCAAUUACCUUGGAUAAAAAUCUCAAUCAUCUUCCUUGCAUCUAUCCUUCAUUCAUCAUUUGCCAAGGCCUCUUGAUUCUAAGAGUUAAAUUCUCCAUUUCAUUCCAUGCCUUCUUUACUUUACUGACCUAGGUAAUCAACAUCCCCUAUAAGCCAUCCAAUAUUCAGAAGCAUCUUCCUAUAACACACUCCUGAUAUUGCUCUUCUGCUACAACACUCUGUUGCCUACAAAAUCAAAUGAAGAUACGUUGGCUUUGUAGUCAGUCCCUCCCCUCCCCCAAUUUGGUCCCAACUUUCCUUUAUUUGCCUUUUCUCCCAACGCCUACCUACCCCAAGAGUCACAUAUCCAAUAAAAAAAACUCAACCUUUACUUUUCUGCCAGUUCCACCUAUUAAAACUAUCCCUAUACUUCAGUUAAAAUGCCCCAUCUAUUCCAUGUCUGGAUUAACUCCACAGCACUCUGUUUAUACAUCCAUAUUAAUACUCUUCACAUUUUUAAAAACCAUAAUUUAUGCAUAUCAGUCUUCAAUUAUAAAUUAAAUUUACCUGCAGCUGAGGGGAGAACUUAGCUCAUUUCUGGAAUUACACCAUCUUUGAUGUUUAAUAAAUAAUUUAAUUAAACAGAAUAGCUUUAUCUGCUAAUUUUCUGAGAAAGGUUUACAGAGGGUGAUGAAGAACAUGACAGCACUAGAUCUUUAGGAAGGAUGAGGCUAUAGGAAUUUGUAGAAGGCUAAUGCCAGGACUUCAAAGGCACAGGCAAAAAAAGAAAAACUAGACAAACUGGACUUCAUGAAAAUUUUAAAAUUUUGUGUCUGAAAGGACGCUAUCAGCAGAGUAAAAAGGCAACCCACAGAAUGGGAGAAAAUAUAUGUAAAUCAUAUAUCUGAUAAGGGAUUGAUUUCAGAACACACAGAAAACUCAACAACAACAACAACAAACCAAACAAUCCAAUUUAAAAAUAGGCUGGGCAUGGUGGCUCAUUCCUGUAAUCCCAGCACUUUGGGAGGCUGAGGUGGGGAAUUUCUUGAGCCCAGGAGUUUGAAACUAGCCUGGUCAACAUAGCAAGAUCUCAUCUCUACAAAAAACUUAAAAAAUUAGCCGGGUGUGGUGGUGUGCACCCGUCAUCCCAGCUACUCAGGAGGCUGAGGCGAGAGGAUCACCUGAGUCUAGGAGGUUGAGGCUACAGUGAGCUAUGAUUGCGCCACUGCACUUCAGCCUGGGUGACAGAGCAAGAUCCUGUCAAAAAUAAAUAAACAAAUAAAUAAAAUAGGCAAAUAGCCUGGCAGAGUGGCAUGUACCUGUAGUCCCAGCUACUUGAGAGGCUGAAGCAGGAUUGCUUGAGUCCAGGCGUUCAAGUUCAGCAUGGGCAACAUUAGGGAGACCUCAUACUCAAGUUAAAAAAUAAUAAUAUAAUAAAUAAUAAGCAAAGGAUUUGAACAGACAUUUCUCUAAAGAAGAUAUAUACACAAAUGGUCAAGAAGCACACAAAAAGAUGCUCAACAAAACUAAUUAGAGAAAUGCAAAUCAAAACUACAAUGAUAUCAUCACAUACCCAUCAGAAUAGCUACAAUCAAAAAACCAGAAAAUAACAAGUGUCAGUGACAAUAUGGAGGAAGUGGAAUCUUUGUACACUGUUGGUAAACAAAGGAAUGUAAAAUGGUAUUGUUGCUAUGGAAAAUAGCAUGAGGGUUCCUCAAAAAAUUAAAAACAGAAUUACCAUAUUGUGGAAUCCUAGUAAGAUACAUAAGCAACAAGGAAGGGGCCCCAGGUGGAGGAAAGCAAUUCUGCUGAGACACGGCUAAUCACAGGCAACCCACAGGCACAACAUCCUGUUCCCAAAUACCUCGUUCAACACAUAGCCCCAGUAGAGUGACCUUAUCUGCACAUCUUCUCUGCUCAUAGCCCCUUCAGUAUGACCCUAUAAAACUUCCCUCCAGUCCCUGACUCUGCAGAUAGCCCCUUCUCUGCUGUGCUGCCCAUUGUUCUCUUGCAACUCUAUCUUCGUAUUUUCUCUAAUAAAUCUGUCCUCUGUAUCUAUGACUGUCUUGGUAAAUUCUUUCACCACCCACAAUGCCAGUCCCAGCCAGUAACACCCAUGACACACAUGACCCAGCAAUUACACUUCUGCAGAUAUACCCAUAAGAAUUGAAAGCAGGGUCUCAGAAGAGGUAUUUGUAUAUCCAUGUUCACAGAAACAUUAUUCACAACACAAGUCAUACUCAAUGUCACUGAUGAGUUCUUGGAAACUGUGACUUUAAGUGAAACCACAUACAGCAGGUCCUUAAACAACAUCACUUCCUUCUUUAUUAUAGGUUCUGACGGUCGCAGUUUCAAGAGCCAAUGAUGUUAAGUGAAGCUUUACAGUAAUUAAAAUCUGCAAGUGCUUCGGUGUAGUGGCUCACAGCUGUAAUCCCAACACUUUAAGAGGCCAAGACAGGUGGAUCACUUGAGGACAGGAGUUCGAAAGAAUUCUUAACAGAACCCAUUUAGGAUUAAACAAGUUUUUGUGGGUCUGAAGAAACUCCCCAGGCCUCCACAAACAAGUUGACUGGAGGUCUGAAGGAACUUCCCAAACCUCCGUGAUUUAGCAGGAGAUAAGAUAAGGGUAAUCACCCCAGCACCUGGAUCCAUUUAAAUUAAGUAAAUUUACUAAGGCUCCAGAGGAAGGUCCUCAGGACUCAGACCUUAAUUAUAGAUUUUAAAAAGUUAGUCACUUUUGUCUUUAGAUAAGUGCACACUUACAUGUAGACAUAUAGCUUAAAAGGUCUACAAGCUCUGGAAAACUGUAAUUUUAAGUUGGUCUGGCGAUAAUUUCCAGGACUUCUCCCUGUAACCAGUUACAGGAAUAAAAACUCUCUUCUGGCAGGGCGCGGUGGCUCAUGUCUAUAAUCCCAGCACUUUGGGAGGCCAAGGCGGGCGGAUCACCUGAGGCCGGGAGUUCAAGACCAGCCUGGCCAACAUGGUGAAAACCCAUCUCUACUAAAAAUACAAAAAAUUAGCCGGGCAUGGAGGUGUGCACCUGUAAUCCCAGCUACUCAGGAGGCUGAGGCAGGAGAAUCGCCUGAACCCAGGAGGCAGAGAUGGCUGUGUGAGCCAAGAUCGCGCCACUGCACUCCAGCCUGGGCAACAGAGUGAGACUCUGUUUCAAAAAAAAACAAAACAAAACAAAAAAAAAACUCUCUUCCUCCCCAGUUCAUCUGCAUCUCAUUAUUGGAUGGCAAGAAAUAGCAGCCUGACCUUCAGUUUGAUAUGAGAACACGGGAAGCCAGGGGUUGCAGUGAGUCAAGAUGGUGCCACUGCACUCUAGCCUGGAAGACAGAGCAAGACUCUGUCUCAAAAACAAAACAAACAAACAAACAAACAAAACCUAGAUGCAACCCAAUUGACAGAUGAUGGAUAAGCAAAAUGGGGUAAAUACAUACAAUGGACAACGGACAAUUCAGCUUUAAAAAGGAAGGAAAUUCUGACAUAUGCUACGACAUAAAUAUGCCUUGGGGAUAUUAUGCUAAGUGACAGACAAAUAUUAUAUGAUUCUACUUACAUGAGAAAUAGAGUAGUCAAAAUCAUAAAGACAGCAGAAUGGUGGUUACCAGGGGCUACGUGGAAGGGGAAUGGAGAGUUAUUGUUUAACGGAUACAGAGUUUUAGUUUUACCAUAUGAAAAAAGUUCUGGAGUUGGAUGAUGGUGAUGGUUGCAUAGCAUUAGGAAUGUAUUUAAUACCACUGAACGGUGCACUUAAAAAUGGUUAAAAUAGUAAAUGUUAUGUGUACUUUACCACAAUUUUUUUAAAGGCUACUGCUGCCAGGCACUGUUGAUUUUUUCCACUCACUCUUCACAACUACCUUUUGAGGCAGGUUAAAAUUCUCAUCUUUUUUAAAGAGGAGGAAAUGCAGGUUAUGAGCAAUUAGGUGUCUUCCACUUUAGCUUCCAAGAUGUGAUGAUCACAGACAUGGCUUCUGAAUUCUAGAGCCAGAAUUUGAAGAUAGGCAGUCUAUCUCCAGAAAAAACAAAACAAGACAGGCUCUCUACUACAUUAGAGCUUACAUUCUUGUAGGGACAGAUAUAAACAACCAUGUAAGAGAUUAAAAGCUUUCAUAUCACAGUGACAGAUGCAAAAUACCUUUGAAAGCAGGUACACAGCUGAAAACACAGUAACCUUUAGUAAACAUAGCUAUUAGAACCUUCCCUGCUCUGAUUGGAAAGGGCGCAGAACACGGUAAUGAUCCUUUGAGAACCCCAAGAAAGGGCAAUAAUGUGGAAAGAGAAACUGGGGGUGAAAUUUUGCUGCAGUUUAUCUCCAGCUGGAUUUGAUUGAAUACUACCAGAGCGAGUAUUUGAAGGAUUUGUAUUUGGCUAUAUGAGAAUAUCUGUAAUCAGAAAUGGCUUAUAAAGGGAUUUUCAUCAAGGAAUGUAGUUUUGUAACAAGUUCAAAUUCCUGCUGGAAAUUUGUUAAAUACCACUGGUUCUUUGCAUCAUGUUUCCAGCAAAUCCCUAUGUAUAUUGCCUCAUCCUGUGGAGUGGCAUAAUUCAAAUUAAACUGGGAGAAUAGGGGUAAAAAGAGAACAAGAUAUUUUGAGGCUGGAGACAACUUUCUGACUUUAAGUGUUUCACUUCCUCUUUACCUGCUUCUAUUGCACAGGGCAAAUAGCUUACAGUAUAUAUCUAAUGAAGAGGAUUAAAUAAAUUAAUACUUUAAACCCUUAAAAUGAUGCUUGAGGUCAGGUGGGGUGGCUCACGCCUGUGAUCUCAGCACUCUGGGAGGCCAAGGCAGGUGGAUCACGAGGUCAGGAGUUCGAGACCAGCCUAGCCAACAUGAUGAAACCCCAUCUCUACUAAAAACACAUAAAAUUAGCCGGGCAUGGAGGCGUGCAACUGUAAUCCCAGCUACUCAAGAGGCUGAGGCAGGAGAAUCGCCUGAACGCAGGAGGCAGAGGUUGCAGUGACCCAAGAUCACGCCAUUGCACUCCAGCCUGGGCAACAGAGCAAGACUCCGUCUUGAAAAAAAUAAAAAUAAAAAAGGAUGCUUGACACGUAACAGGUGCUCAGUAAAUGUUGGCUAUUAUUUAGUGACACAUUAUUUAAUAAUUGAGUCAGUUUCCUCAUCUGUAAAAUGAAAAUAACAUUGUAAUUUCUUUGCAGAGUCUCUGAGAUAAUAAAGUACACUGAAUAUCAAGCAUUUGAUCUUUGCUAUGAUUAUUCACACCGCCAUGAUGCAACUCACUGUCUCCAAGGAGGUCCAAAUAGCCCUAUUAAGACUGUAUUGGUCAGGUGCAGUGGCUUACGCCUAUAAUCCCAGCACUUUGGGAGGCUGAGGUGGGCGGAUCAUUUGAGGUGAGGAGUUCGAGACCAGCCUGGCCAACAUGGUGAAACCCCAUCUCUACUAAAUAUACAAAAAUUAGCCAGGCGUGGUGGUGUGCACCUGUAGCCUCAGCUACUGGGGAGGCUGAGGCGGGAGAAUCGCUUGAACCCGGGGGGUGGAGAUUGCAGUGAGCCAAGAUGGUGCCACUGCACUCCAGCCUGGGUGACAGAGUGAGACUGUCUCAAAAGAAAAAAAAAAAAAGACUGUAUUAUGACUUUCCUGAGACCUAGGCACUUUUGCCUUCAAGGGCCCCUUCGUCUAAGUUAUUAAAAAUAAUAUUUUAUGACUGCAUUGGUAUAAAACGAACAUAAUACAGGCUGGAUUCGUUAUCAUAUUCAUAAACAUUAUGGUUUUUUUAAAAAAGAAAUUUAAAUUAAAAGACUUUCGUAGACCCCUAAAACUAUCAUGGGUUCAGGCAGGAGAAUCGCUUGAACCCAGGAGGCGGAGGUUGCAGUGAGCCAAGAUCGCGCCACUGCACUCCAGCCUGGGCAACAGAGUGAGACUCUGUCUCAAAAAACAAACAAACAAAACAAAACAAAACAAAAACCUCUCUUCCUCCCCAGUUCAUCUGCAUCUCAUUAUUGGGCGGCACGGUACUUACUGUGCCUAAAGAAUAAGUUGGCCCUGAGCCUCUUUACCUGUCUACAUAUUACCUGUCUUCAUAUUCCUUAGCAUAGGUGGGCUUCUCGGCAAGAUGACUUUGCAUCUGUGGGACUAGAACCUAGCCUUUGGGCAGGUGGAACGCAACAAUAAGCUUGUGCCCUAGAGAUACAGAUCUCAGCUCUAUACCUUUCUAGACUCAGCUUCAUCCGCAAAUUAGCAUUAAUUGGGAUGGUGAAUAACAACGUUUUAGAAAUGCUAAUAAUGUAAACACGAUCUAUCUGGCUACUUCAGGAAAACCCCUCAUAUAGCUCGUGCUCCGUCUCUCCUGUCAAGCCCCAAGCCCACAACUUGUCCCGGCUCCCUCCGGAUCCCACCAAGGUCACCCUGGAAGCGUCCUCCCUUUUCUCGCCCCGCACCCGCUUCACGCCCGUUCUCCCUAGGCCAGCACCCACCAGCAGCCUUCGGAAAGCCACGAGUGAGGAAGCCCCCAAAUCCGAGGCGAGUGCCAAGGGGCCGG
rnacentral:lncRNA from 10 species